UACGGAGGGUGCAAGCGUUGUCCGGAUUCACUGGGUUUAAAGGGUGCGUAGGUGGGCAGUUAAGUCAGUGGUGAAAUCUCCGGGCUCAACCCGGAAACUGCCAUUGAUACUAUCUGUCUUGAAUAUCGUGGAGGUAAGCGGAAUAUGUCAUGUAGCGGUGAAAUGCUUAGAUAUGACAUAGAACACCAAUUGCGAAGGCAGCUUACUACCCGAAUAUUGACACUGAGGCACGAAAGCGUGGGGAUCAAACAGG
rnacentral:rRNA from 1 species